GCUGGAGUCGCACCACACCAUCUAAGCCGAUCCCCAUUGGCUACUUCAAAUGGAUCAGGGGCGGCUACAGUGGCCAAAUAAGGAACAGAUGUGGGUUUUACAGGUUGGGCUGCAGAUUGGGAACAGAUGUGGGUUUUACAGGUUGGGCUGCAGAUUGGGAACAGAUGUGGGUUUUACAGGUUGGGCUGCAGAUUGGGAACAGAUGUGGGUUUUACAGAUUGGGCUGCAGAUUGGGAACAGAUGUGGGUUACAGAUUGGGUUAUAGAUUGGGAGUGGCUGGAAGGUUGUUUGCUGUAAAGUGGAACCUUUGAAGAGG
rnacentral:lncRNA from 1 species